GAUGAAGAACGCAGCGAAAUGCGAUAAGUAAUGUGAAUUGCAGAAUUCAGUGAAUCAUCGAAUCUUUGAACGCACAUUGCGCCCGCCAGUAUUCUGGCGGGCAUGCCUGUUCGAGCGUCAUUUCAACCCUCACGCCCAGCUUGGUGUUGGGGAUCGGCACAGGCGCCUUCGGGCGCCCGCCGUCCCCUAAAUCUAGUGGCGGUCCCGCUGCAGCCUCCUCUGCGUAGUAGUUUUCUCCUCGCAAGGGCAGCUCGGUGGCGACCUCGCCGUAAAACCCCCAACUUCUGAAAGGUUGACCUCGAAUCAGGUAGGAAUACCCGCUGAACUUAAGCAUAUCAAUAAGCGGAGGA
rnacentral:misc_RNA from 1 species